UGGAAAACGUCUUGUGCUGACCGUCUGGAAAAACAAAGCCACAAAGAUAAACUGUAAUACAUAAAGUAAUAGAUAAACGUAAGACACGGGGGAGCUUGCAUAUGAUUGGUUAAGAUGUGUUGUUUGAAGGUUCUUAGACAUGUGAUAGGUUAAAGUAUAGAUAAAGUAGUAGUGGUUUUACCUAUAUAAUGUGUGUAAAAUGUGAAGCUCUUUGGAAUCUAAUCAGAGACACAGCCCAAGAUCAGAACUGCCAGACCUCAACAGCUUGCUGACCAUGCCGUGCAGAAGCUGGAGUCACCAGAUGAUCUAAUCUUGACUGGCCAUUAAGAAAAGUUUAUCUGCCUUACUGGGAGUGAUAUCCCAGUACUCUUGUGGAGCCAUCCAUCUUGUAGAGUCAUCUUGUGGAGCUAUCAGUAGAACUACAAUAACAUCAUAUAGCAUGCUACCCUGUUCAUCAUGACUACUAUAAUACAUGCAUCUCCAGUCUGCUACAAGAAUCUGAGUUUGAAUCCUAUGCUCAUCAUUAAACUCAUCCACAAAAUACAGAUAUCUGCUUCUGACUGUUAGGUCAUCAAAGUGGAUACAUUACAAACAUCCUUAUUUUCCUUUAGGUCAGAUACCAACUCUGUGCACAUCUCAUUUAUAAAUGACUAACACCCCACUAGUUUAGAAUGCAACUACAGCCCAAGGACUCUGCCAUCCCAUCCCCGCCCUUGCAUUAUUUCUGCCAUGCUUUUCAACUACAGAAACAAGAGAGGAUACUUCCAUUUCAAAGAGGAAAGGAAAGAGGUUCCACCUGCUUCCAGAAAGCAGCACUACUGAAGCAGUAGGUAUGGGACUGAGACACAGGUAGAAAUACCAGUAUGAUUUCAUCUGCCCCCAUUGAAGGCCAUGGGGACCAAAUUCUCAACAGAAAAUAACUGGGGCAGCUCCUUUGACAUCAAUGGUAUCACUGUAAUUUAUGCAAGCUGAGGAUCUGAGCCCCAGAAGGUUUACCACUGCCUCCCACAAACAGAGGAGCAGACACAGAAGAAGUGAAGACCCUAACCAUCUGGAAGUCAUUUCUAGAAAUAAAAACUUAAGAUGCCCAUUGCAAACUACACAGUGAUUUGCUCAAGUCAUUUGCAGCAAGUCCAUGUUCUAAAACAGCUUAGCCUGUGUGGAUGAGGCCAAACUGUUAAAAGCGGGUUAAAAAACAACAAGUUCUAUUUUUUGGGGGGUAGAUUUUUUCAAUCCAGGCAAAACACAACUUUGGGCAAAUUGUGUUCUAACACAGUAGGCCAUCCUCACAGGCUGGGCAUUAGAACAUGUUAGAACGUGGCUCAGCUGCCCUGAGUUUAAUGAAACAAACCACUAUUUGUAUUUAUUAAUUGCGUAUAUAGCACCAACUGGGUGCUUCAGAAACCAACAUAAGGGCAAGGUCUUUGCUUCAAACAGCCAACGACCCACGGCCCCACUCCAGCAACUCACAGCCACACAGGUGUAACUACAGUGAUGAGCAUGGUGUUCAUACAGCAUGCCCAGUGGCCAAAGUCCUUACACAGAUGGCUCAAGGUAGGUUCCCAUUCAAAAAGCAAAGCAUGGGACUCAAGAACUGACAAAAAAGCAUGAUUUGCAUACAGACUUUGAAUUUAUCCAAAGAUCUUGAAUUUAAAAAAGUGCUUGCCGUCAUCCUAGUCAAAAUGAAAGGCUGCUCUGAUUCUCAUUUACCUAUUUCUUACAGCAAGUCAAUUUGAUUUCUUUAACUGUUAAUUCACUGACUUUAAAUGUUUCUUCAAUAACUUUCCUCACGGCCUUUGAAAGAAACUUUGAUCUCAGGGACAGAAGAUGUAACUGGCAACUCUUUCUUUUUUAAAGCUUAUGAUGUUUUUUUUAUUAAUAUACAUUUGUUCAAAA